AGCGAACGCUGGCGGCAGGCCUAACACAUGCAAGUCGAACGAAGUCUUCGGACUUAUUGGCGGACGGGUGAGUAACACGUGGGAACGUACCUUUUGGUUCGGAACAACUAAGGGAAACUUGAGCUAAUACCGGAUGAGCCCCUAGGGGGAAAGAUUUAUCGCCGACAAGAGCGGCCCGCGUUAGAUUAGCAAGUUGAUGGGGUAAAGGCGCACCAAGGCUACGAUCGAUAGCUGGUCUGAGAGGAAGAACAGACACUCUGGAACUGAGACACGGCCGGGAGUCCUAGGGGAGGCAACCGUGCAGAAUCUUGCGCCAUGGGGGAAAGACUGACGCAGCCAUGCCGCGUGAAUGAUGAAGGUCUUAGGAUUGUAAAAUUCUUUUACCAGGGACGAUAAUGACGGUACCUGAAGAAAAAGUCCCGGCUAACUUCGUGCCAGCAGCCGCCGUAAGAC
rnacentral:rRNA from 1 species